rnacentral:rRNA from 1 species
AUUAGACUACCCCUGUACGUCCCAGACCGUAAACUAUGCGCGUUAGGUGUAUCGGUGACCACGAGUUACCGAGGUGCCGAAGGGAACCGUGAAACGUGCCGCCUGGGAAGUACGGUCGCAAGGCUAGAAACUUAAAGGAAUUGGCGGGGGAGCACCACAACAGGUGGAGCCUGCGGUUUAAUUGGACUCAACGCCGGGAAGCUCACCGGAUAGGACAGCAGAAUGAUUGCCGGGCUGAAGACCCUGCAUGACUAGCUG